CUCGACGCUUGCGUGCAGGUGAUCCGCUGCGGAUUUGGGAUGCCCGCGUUUAAUAACGAUGAAAUUGUGAUUUCUGAGUUCAUCAAGCUCGGCGUCGAAA
rnacentral:tRNA from 3 species